AGUCGAGGGGCAGCAUGGUCUUAGCUUGCUAAGGCUGAUGGCGACCGGCGCACGGGUGAGUAACACGUAUCCAACCUGCCGUCUACUCUUGGCCAGCCUUCUGAAAGGAAGAUUAAUCCAGGAUGGCAUCAUGAGUUCACAUGUCCGCAUGGUUAAAGGUAUUUUCCGGUAGACGAUGGGGAUGCGUUCCAUUAGAUAGUAGGCGGGGUAACGGCCCACCUAGUCAACGAUGGAUAGGGGUUCUGAGAGGAAGGUCCCCCACAUUGGAACUGAGACACGGUCCAAACUCCUACGGGAGGCAGCAGUGAGGAAUAUUGGUCAAUGGGCGAUGGCCUGAACCAGCCAAGUAGCGUGAAGGAUGACUGCCCUAUGGGUUGUAAACUUCUUUUAUAAAGGAAUAAAGUCGGGUAUGCAUACCCGUUUGCAUGUACUUUAUGAAUAAGGAUCGGCUAACUCCGUGCCAGCAGCCGCGGUAAUACGGAGGAUCCGAGCGUUAUCCGGAUUUAUUGGGUUUAAAGGGAGCGUAGAUGGAUGUUUAAGUCAGUUGUGAAAGUUUGCGGCUCAACCGUAAAAUUGCAGUUGAUACUGGAUGUCUUGAGUGCAGUUGAGGCAGGCGGAAUUCGUGGUGUAGCGGUGAAAUGCUUAGAUAUCACGAAGAACUCCGAUUGCGAAGGCAGCCUGCUAAGCUGCAACUGACAUUGAGGCUCGAAAGUGUGGGUAUCAAACAGGAUUAGAUACCCUGGUAGUCCACACGGUAAACGAUGAAUACUCGCUGUUUGCGAUAUACGGCAAGCGGCCAAGCGAAAGCGUUA
rnacentral:rRNA from 1 species